rnacentral:rRNA from 1 species
ACUGCUAAUACCCAAUGUGCCGAAAGGUGAAAGAUUUAUCGUCUGAAGAUGGGCUCGCGUCUGAUUAGCUAGAUGGUGGGGUAAGAGCCUACCAUGGCAACGAUCAGUAGCUGGUCUGAGAGGAUGAGCAGCCACACUGGGACUGAGACACGGCCCAGACUCCUACGGGAGGCAGCAGUGGGGAAUUUUCCGCAAUGGGCGAAAGCCUGACGGAGCAAUACCGCGUGAGGGAGGAAGGUCCUUGGAUUGUAAACCUCUUUUAUCAGGGAAGAAGUUCUGACGGUACCUGAUGAAUAAGCAUCGGCUAACUCCGUGCCAGCAGCCGCGGUAAUACGGAGGAUGCAAGCGUUAUCCGGAAUUAUUGGGCGUAAAGCGUCCGUAGGUGGUUAUGCAAGUCUGCCGUUAAAGAAUGGAGCUUAACUCCAUAGGAGCGGUGGAAACUGCAAGACUAGAGUACAGUAGGGGUAGCAGGAAUUCCCAGUGUAGCGGUGAAAUGCGUAGAUAUUGGGAAGAACAUCGGUGGCGAAAGCGUGCUACUGGGCUGAAACUGACACUGAGGGACGAAAGCUAGGGUAGCGAAUGGGAUUAGAUACCCCUGUAGU